rnacentral:rRNA from 1 species
GAUGAACGCUGGCGGCGUGCCUAAUACAUGCAAGUCGAGCGAACGGACGAGAAGCUUGCUUUUCUGAUGUUAGCGGCGGACGGGUGAGUAACACGUGGAUAACCUACCUAUAAGACUGGGAUAACUUCGGGAAACCGGAGCUAAUACCGGAUAAUAUUUUGAACCGCAUGGUUCAAAAGUGGAAGACGGUCUUGCUGUCACUUAUAGAUGGAUCCGCGCUGCAUUAGCUAGUUGGUAAGGUAACGGCUUACCAAGGCAACGAUGCAUAGCCGAGCGGAGAGGGUGAUCGGCCACCCGGGAACGGAGACACGGACCAGACUCCUACGGGAGGCAGCAGUCGGCAAUCGUCCGCAAUGGGCGAAAGCCUUGCGGAGCGAGGCCGCGUGAGUGACGAAGGUCUUCGGAGCGUAAAGCUCUGUUACUAGGGGUGAACAUAUGUGUAAGUAGAAGAGGACAUCGUGACGGUACCUAAUCAGGAAGCCACGGCUAACUACGUG